GAUAUGGCCUAGUCGUUAGAGCGUCCGCCUUGGAUGUGGAAGAUCGUGGGUUAGAUCCCCGGUCGAGUCA